rnacentral:rRNA from 1 species
AGAGUUUGAUCCUGGCUCAGAUUGAACGCUGGCGGCAGGCUUAACACAUGCAAGUCGAGCGGGGAAGUGUAGCUUGCUACCUAACCUAGCGGCGGACGGGUGAGUAAUGCUUAGGAAUCUGCCUAUUAGUGGGGGACAACAUUCCGAAAGGAAUGCUAAUACCGCAUACGUCCUACGGGAGAAAGCAGGGGAUCUUCGGACCUUGCGCUAAUAGAUGAGCCUAAGUCGGAUUAGCUAGUUGGUGGGGUAAAGGCCUACCAAGGCGACGAUCUGUAGCGGGUCUGAGAGGAUGAUCCGCCACACUGGGACUGAGACACGGCCCAGACUCCUACGGGAGGCAGCAGUGGGGAAUAUUGGACAAUGGGCGGAAGCCUGAUCCAGCCAUGCCGCGUGUGUGAAGAAGGCCUUAUGGUUGUAAAGCACUUUAAGCGAGGAGGAGGCUACUCUAGUUAAUACCUAGAGAUAGUGGACGUUACUCGCAGAAUAAGCACCGGCUAACUCUGUGCCAGCAGCCGCGGUAAUACAGAGGGUGCGAGCGUUAAUCGGAUUUACUGGGCGUAAAGCGUGCGUAGGCGGCUGAUUAAGUCGGAUGUGAAAUCCCUGAGCUUAACUUAGGAAUUGCAUUCGAUACUGGUCAGCUAGAGUAUGGGAGAGGAUGGUAGAAUUCCAGGUGUAGCGGUGAAAUGCGUAGAGAUCUGGAGGAAUACCGAUGGCGAAGGCAGCCAUCUGGCCUAAUACUGACGCUGAUGUACGAAAGCAUGGGGAGCAAACAGGAUUAGAUACCCUGAUAGUCCAUGCCGUAAACGAUGUCUACUAGCCGUUGGGGCCUUUGAGGCUUUAGUGGCGCAGCUAACGCGAUAAGUAGACCGCCUGGGGAGUACGGUCGCAAGACUAAAACUCAAAUGAAUUGACGGGGGCCCGCACAAGCGGUGGAGCAUGUGGUUUAAUUCGAUGCACGCGAGA